CACUGUGCCAAUGAUGUUGCCUUGUGGGAUUUUCUAGCAAUGACAGGAGAAUCUACAUAUCUUUGAGCCCAUGGGUUUCUCUUUGGUCGUGACAGCCAGAGGAAAGAGACUCCUCCCUUAUUUCCAGAGAAUGGUAAAGAAGCAUUGCCAGCCAUGUUGGCACACAGCUGGAGUGGGAGGCUGAGGCAGAAGGAUCCCCUGUGGUCCUAGUCAAAACCUUGUGGAGAACUGUACAGAAAGGCCAUCCCAAGCCUCUGCCUGCAAGACGAGGGCAGUUUUGGUCCACAGCGGGUCUCCUGGCUGGCUGUAUCCCCAUCGCUGUUAUUCACCGUUUGGCAGCAGCAGGGCAGAGAGCCCAGCUCGCCAAGAGCUUGUUGGACUCCUGAGACCUGGUGGGAGGGCAUCACUUACGUCUGGUCAAGGAAACAAGAACAUAAUAAUCAGGAGUCCCAGGAUCUUACAGGAAGCAGGAGGAGCCAAGGAAAGAAGGGGAGAGAAAGGUGAUAAAUCCAGGCAAGGAUUGCUGUGGAGCAAAUGCCUGCCUUGGGCAAUAAAGACUCCGCAUCUCUGUCCCCGUUGUCGCCAGUCAAGAGACGAGACGCAGCUCAAGACUCCACUCCACCCAUUUUUUUCUCCCCUCCUUCCUUCUCUACAGCUCAGACAACGGCUCCAGGCAGCAAAUCAAUGCCUAUAAAGUGAAAAGCCACCGGAGAUUUCUAGGCCACCAGAUGUGCAGUAUUUAGACAGAACAGCUGAAUCACCCAACACCUUCCUGGUUUUCCCUGAACCCCGCCGCGAAUCAUCUCACAAGACCCUGUGCAGAGGCCACCUCUGGUCCCCAGCGCUCCGAGGCACCCUUCCACGGCUCCCCAUUCCUGCCUCCUCCUGCAGCACACAGCAAAGGAACCUGGUGCUGGCCUGGUCCGGUGAUCUUUACCCGAGCAGGGCCUGGGGAAGAUGGGGUAAGACAGGAAGGAGCCUCUAGGGCCACCCUGGGGACUGCUGGGAGAACACAUCCCGGAAGGCCCUGCCUUGUGCUCUGCCCCAUUUCACACAUGCAAACACUGAGGGGCAGACCCUGUGGUCUGAAAGCUCAACAAAACCAGCACCUAGAACUCCUAGCUUCCCGGAUGCAACUCAGCCCCAGCAUCAGGCACCAGCGGAGCCCAGAAAGCCAUCCCAGAUGGGUCAGGCUGGAGUAGCAGGCUGCCUCAAGCUCCGGUGGCAGGUGUUUCUCUGUACUUCUCACUCUCUGAGUUCAAAUCCCUCUCCUGGGACCUACAAGCUGUGUGGCCUUAGGCAAGCUGCUUUAGCUCUCCGGGCCUCAGUGGCCUCAUCUAUAGAAUGGGAAUAGCAGUGUCUACAUCAGAGGGGUGUUGUGAGAGUCGGAUGAAAUAAGCCAUGUGAAGUUCUUAAGUGACAAUAAGUACCCAAAGCAUGUAUGAUUUCUUUUUUUUUUUUUUGUAAUUUAAAAUCUUUAUUGAUUCAUGUUUUCUAGAAAUAUUGUAUUUUUAAAUAAAUC
ensembl:lncRNA